UCGCGGGUCGUAUAACAGUAAGUUUUUCGCCCAAAUUCAAAAUCUAAUCCAUUUUCUCUCCUCAAAAUAUCUCUGCCUCCUCUCUCUCCUCAAAGUCUCUCUCCCAUUUUCGCCGGCAUCAAAGCUACAACGGAGUUGGCGAAGGUGGCUACGAAGGUGAAGAUGCGGCGGCGGUCUCUCUCCAUCCACGAAACCUCUGCCUCCCUCUGUAUCCUCAAACUCGACGCCUGACAUGGAACCGUUGAAGCUCGGCGGUGGCUUGUGGUGGUGGAAUGUUGUUUGUCGUUGUGAUGGUUGUGGACGCGAACGAGUGGAAGAUCGGUGACACGAAGCUCAACUUAGAUCUGCCUGUGAUCUCUAUGAGAAAACUCCCAAGGGUUCCAGCAAAAAAAACAUGUCGCGAAGAAAAGAAACAGAUCGCCGGCGAGAAACUAGAGAUGAAGGAGAGGAAGAAGAAGCGCCGACGUGAAGAUUGAGAUCCGCCAUUGUUUGAUGUUAUGUGCUCUGGUUCUCCUUCUUUCUACUUUGACAUACCUCAGACUUGGAAAUAUUCUCAAUAUGUUGGUGCUGGUUGAAUGAGUUCCUUUUGCUGUGGUGGAACAAAUGUUGUGGUUGUUGUGUUGGUGGCUCUGAUUCCCUGGUUGCGGCUGUGGCGGUGGCGGUGGCAGCAAUGCAAAGGAACAAUGUUGCAGAGGCCUCGCAAGUCGUAACAAAUUUGGUUUAGUCAUAGUUUGGUUAUAUUUAGUUAAUAAAAAAAAUGGUUUAGUAAUAAUUUGUAUUUUAAAAUUGCAAAGAAAUGCAAUUAAUAUCCAAAUCUGUAUUGUAACAAUUUUGUUUCAUUUAUUUUAGUCAUGAUUAAAUAAGUUUUAGUUAAGAAUGAAUUCAUUUUAGUCACACAUUUGUUGCA